ensembl:lncRNA
CUCUCCCCUCUCUCCCUGUCUCUCUCUCUCCCUCUCUCCCCUCUCCCUCUCUCGCGGUGGUCCUCUUGUCGAAGCAGCACUUUGAGCCAAAUUGAGAUUACGUCCGGGGAUGCGAUCGAUCCUCGGGUAGAACCCGAGGUGACCUUCACCAACAGUCACCUUCUACCCGUCCUCCUGGUUUACCCGCCUCGUCCCUUCUGAACCGGGGAGGGGGAGGGGAGGGGAAAUGAAAAACAACGUGAACUCGACUAAAAGCGCAAAAGCACGACUUCUGUCGAGGGUCGUUCUGUGUUUUACGGUCAACGGAUACGAGGAAGGUGUGGAAUGUUCUGGGUUGAGGGAUUCAGGAACACCAGAACGUUCCAGAACGUUCUUUUUUUUAAGAAACCCUGUGGUUCAGUGGAGGGACAUCGUGAAAGCUGAUUGGUUGGUUUUGGCGGGUAAUUCCAAAGAGUUCAGCACUGCUGAUUGUGUCGGGAAAUGAGGGGCGGGCGAGAGACUUUGUAUGUGUUCUAAUUGUAAAACUUGUACAUUUUAUUUAUAUUGUUUUUUUUACACAUAUUACUCAGUAGUGAGCUCUGAAUACGUUGAAAAUGCACUAUAUUUUUCUAUCUCACACGCAGAUGAUAAAUGUCACCCACACUAUUUCAGUUGUACAUCAUUUGUUUUCAUUUAGGACCAAAGACAGCCGAUAGGAAUUCCAUCUUGAAUUGUUUUUUUUCCCGCCUUUUAGUUUAUUGUACAGUAAUACAAAAUGUUGAUUUAUUAUUUAUUUUUCUGUGUUUAAAAAGUAUUGAGAAUAUUCACUGGUCAGAAAUAUUUUCCCCAACCACAAACUGUAAAAAACAUUUAAUUAGACGAUUUCUUGUUACAUAGACAAUUCUUUUUGCUUUGUAACCUUUGUAAUAGACUGUACAUAUAUUUUUGGAAAUAUAAUACAAUCUCUACAGAACUUGUUUCGUGAACGUAUUUUUAUAGUCUGAGUUCAUCGCAAUUGAUAUCAUGUAUCCGUUUCUCUGUGCGUGUGUGUUUAUUUCUGUGUGCGUGUGUGUGGGCGUGUGUGUUUUUUUGUGCUUGUCUGCUUGUG